rnacentral:tRNA from 1 species
CGGGAUAGCACAGCUG